UACGUAGGGUGCAAGCGUUAAUCGGAAUUACUGGGCGUAAAGCGUGCGCAGGCGGUUGUGUAAGACAGAUGUGAAAUCCCCGGGCUUAACCUGGGAACUGCAUUUGUGACUGGCGGGCUAGAGUAUGGCAGAGGGGGGUAGAAUUCCGACGUGUAGCAGUGAAAUGCGUAGAGAUGUGGAGGAAUACCGAUGGCGAAGGCAGCCCCCUGGGCCAAUACUGACGCUCAUGCACGAAAGCGUGGGGAGCAACAGG
rnacentral:rRNA from 1 species